ACCAGUACAGUGUUUGUCUUCUUCAGUGUAUGUUGCUUGGGCAUUAUAUUUGCUAUUGAUUGUGGCAGCACGUUGGCUUCAGCCCCUAUGUCAAGCUUGAAGUUGACCGUUUGCCCACCCACUCGGAGCGAUGUGCGCCACCCAGUGUCUUUAGAGCGAGCCUGUGCUCGUGUGACAGCACCAAUGAACAGUGCAUCCACACCCAUGCUUUCUGUAUCAAUGGGUGCAACAUCAGAUGCUGAUCGGCACACGGCUGCAAAAUGGUUUCUCUUGCCGCAUUUUCUACAUUCCACAUUGAACGCGGGACAGUUCCUGGGCUUGUGCAUUCUGCCACAUCUGUCGCAUGUCUUCUCCUGCUGUUCACUGGUCGGGCUCGCACGCGAUCUUGAUGUCUGGCGUUGCCACCCACGUUUCUCUAUUGCAAGCACCUCUUGCUCUGUGCUACCACUAGCCGCCAUGACUUUGGCCUGAGCCUGUGUAACUUCCUUGGUGCGGCAUAUGUCGAUGGCUUUGGUUAGAGAUAAGUCUGAGACAAUUAACAGUUUCUCCCUGAGACGUGCAUCCGAAACACUGAACACAAUUUUGUCCCUGAGCAUUAAAUCCUCAGUGUCUUUGAACUCACAAGUGCAUGCUCUCUGUCUCAAUUCCGUGACAAACUUGUCAAUGCCAGUAUGUUCAUGAAACUGAUGUGCCCAGAAUUGGUGCCUUUCAAAAACAGUGUUCCUACGUGGUGCACAGUAAUUUUCAAAAGCUUGUAUUACCUCGUCCAUUGUUUUGUUGUCGUUAUCUUCAUAGGUAAUUUCCAGCGUGUUGUUGAUCUCCAACGCAUCCUCACCAAUGCAGUGUAGCAGCACGGCUAUUUUCCGACCUUCUGCUUUGUCAUUAAGUCCACUAGCCAAGAGAUAGAGGCGCAAUCUUUGCUCCCAUCUUCGCCAAUUUUCUGCAAGGUUUCCCGUCAGGGACAACGGUGACGGCGGAGUGAAUGAUUGCAUCGUUACAGAGUGAAACAGUCUGCCCUCGUACUCACUGCAGCGUUAGAGCGUGCUAGCAACGAUGGUUGUAGACUAGCUGUCCAAGCAGGCUAUCCACGCAGGCUAUCCACAGGCAAUUCACCUUCACUCCAGGCGAAAAUGUUCAGCGGUUCGCUACUUCUGACACCAUAUCAUGUUCCGUGCCGCAUGAAAUGAAUACGCAAUGGCUUAGAGGCAAAUCAUUAGCUUUACUAAUGGAGUACAGUAGCAACUGAUUACCACAUGUAUAUAAGCUAGAACAGUGGACCCGAACUUCCUAGUCUAACGUGAUUGGCUGUCAGAACACAACACAGCCCAAUAUACUACAAGAGUAACGUCUCUAAUGUCAGUAUUUGUUCAACGUAUAGAGUAAUUACGUUCGUACAUUGAGUCAAUUUCGAGUCAAACUUUCAGUUCCCCUUCCUGAGAAUGUCCAAAAAACAUUUCACCAGUUUUUCACCAGUGGUUAUGUCUGGUGAUAUAUAAGGAGAUCUCAGGACAUGGCCUCCUAUCAACUCAACCAAAUUUACAUGGCCACCGUAUGGGAUUUAAUCAAUAACCUUGUCAAAUCUCCAAAUUUGGCACAGAUAAUCUUUAGACCGAGCUUCAUGAAAAGAUAUUUUUUUUACAGCCUAUCGAAUUCAACGGUCAACCUGCCAAACAGGGAGUGAGCUCAAAUCUCGAGUAAUCUUUGGUGAAUUGACAUGAAACUUGCUGUGAGUGCUUACAGUCAUGCCUUUGACACAAUGACAUCAGGUUCCCAUGGCAACACUGGCCUGCUAGGCUGCAUGGCCCCUCAUUGCUGCUUGCAGCUAUACGUUUGAUUCAUUCAUUCAUUCUAUUGAUUCAAUUCUAUUCUUAUUGAUGGAGAAGGCACCCAAUUCAAUUGAUUUCAUUUAAACAAACAUAAUAACUUCCUGCAGUUAGUUUGUGGGAUUGUUAGGUUUAAAAAGUAUCAAUUUGUAUUAUGCUUCUGUAAUCACCCUUGUAUAUUAAAGCAAAAUAUCUUUCAAACAAGCUUUAGGUCCAUAUUGUGGGAUUUUAAUGCACAUUCAGAGUGUAGAAUGAAUUAGUAAUUUUAGUCUCAAAGAGAUGUACUGUCCUUUAGUGAUUACUUUUUCCUUCUGUAUGCUGUGUUUGUGUGUGUGUGUGUGUGUGUGUGUGUGUGUGUGUGUGUGUGUGUGUCCUGUCUGGACCCUACAAUAACAGGAGUUUGCCUGGAGAUCCUACAAGAAGAGGUUCUAGUUGAUUGUAUUACAUUACUUAUUUUGUCUCCUGCAAGAUAAUCACAAGCUUUUUGUCAUUCAUAUUCCCUAAAUGUUAUUUUUUCUAAAGUAAUGUUUGCAGUUAUACAUAUCUUAUAGCAUAAACAUCUCAUUUGUCUCUCAUUCAGAUGAGGCAGUCUAUGAAAUACCUGACACCCAUACCUACGCAAAUACUAUGAGAAACCCAGAACUACUGGGUGGACCUGCUCAGGUGACACCCAAUUCAGCUGGUAGAAAUCCUCAGCAGGCACUCAGACCAUGCAGCAGAAAAGGUGGUGACUCAACAUCAAGCAUCAACCAACAUCAAGCAGGCUUGGAUGGUCAUGUGUAUGAGACCCCUCUCCCUGCCCACUCAUUUCCUUCUACAGUCUAUGAAACCAUAAUAGGAAAACCUGAGUGACAGGCCUAUGACCUCUACCUGUGUGACACAAACAUCAACGGAGACAGUUCAUUUCAGAGGAGGCCUGCUGGUGUGAAAAAAAGAUUGCUAGAGAUAAUCAAAUAAUAUACCUGAUUAACUCAUCCACAGCAUGUUGAACUAUAUAAUCCUGUGAGUUUGUUUUCAAUAAAUAUUAAUCCUGUUACUGAUGAAUGCAAAAGCCACACACAUGCCUACAUUACAAUAUUCUUGUGUUGAAAUUACACAGAUAUUUUGUUAUAAUGAAGAAAUAAGCACAGAAAUUUUGUUAUGAUGAAUAAAG
ensembl:lncRNA